UUCACCUCGACAGAGGACGCAUGGCCGCUGCGCCCGCCCUGCUCGCGGUGACCCCCCUCCCUCCCCCGAUAGUCGUCGUCGUUCCAUUUUCCCCAACCCUCCAUGCCCUUCUCCAAGAAACAGAGCGACGAGAUCAACCCAGCAGCAGGAUCGAUCGUUCAGAGAUGAUGAUGGAUUCCGCGGAGCAUCAGAAGGUGUGUGCCCCUUCUCUCGUCCUCGUCAACAACGCUUAUCCGCGAUGCCCCCCUGCCACCCAUCAACGCGCGCCUCUGAUGCCGCCCCGAUCGCCCGAGAUCUACCGCGACAGCCGCCCCUCCGGCCUCUGAUCCAACACGGGGGAAGGGCGGCCCGCAUACCGCGGCGUGCGAGUACCGCGCUGUGCGCCAGAGGACGUGGGGCAAGUGGGUGGCCGAGAUCCGAGAGCCCAACAAGCGCACCCUGCCACCCGCCUCUGGCUCGGCUCCUUCGCCACUGCCGAGGAGGCUGCGCUCGCCUACGACGAGGACGCGCGCAGGCUCUACGGCCCCGACGCCUUCCUCAACCUGCCGCACCUCCGCGCCUCCGAUGUCUCCUCCUCUGCCACGCACCAGAGGCUUAGGUGGCUCGCUGCCUCCGCCAGGGGCGCCGCCGCCGUCCCGGCCUACGGCCUGCUCAACCUCAACGCGCAGCACAACGUAUACAAUCUUUUGGCACAUGUUCCUUUGAUGGAUUUUCAAAAGGAAUCAACAUUUGAUAUGUGGAGUACUGUUGGUCUGUCUUCUAAAGGAGAAAAUGACUCUUCCAUGGUACUUCAUUAUUUUACAUCUUAAGCUCAAAUGUUCUGGGUAUUAACUGAUGGAAUUAUUUAGGAAACUAAAAUUGAAACUAAAAUUGAAGUUCACCAAAGCAUGGCUGUCUUUUCUCAUGUUACCACUACCACUUGAUGUGUACAAGGAGGUCCUUGCUUCAAUUCAUCAAAAUGUCAUUCCUUCAAUGUCAAACCCUUCCAUCUUAUGUGAUUUCUUGACUAGAUCAUAUGGUAUUGGUUGUGUUAUUAGUGUGAUGGCCUUAAGUGGUCUUUUCAUUCUUAUGACACAACACAGUCUGGAGUAUCGAAAAUUCUAUGAAAAGCUUUAUGCACUACUCACUCUUGUUGUUUUCAUGGCAAAACACCGAUCAGUAUUUUUGCA